UCACAAAUUCAAACUUAAAUCUCGAAUAUCUUUUUUUUCAAAUAUGUUCAGCACAAAUUAAAUAUCUUAACAGAAGAUCAAAAUCGAACCCUGUGCUAAUCACAUUUAUAGCGAUGAUGCCUUUCAGGUUACCCUUCAAAAUAUUCCCUAUCAACUUCGUAGCUAAUAGCUCACAUGUGAAACUCUAUUCAACCAAUCAAAUUUCGGAAAGUCCGCUUUUACUUUUUUCAAGUCCUAAUACCUCUGUCAACCUUUUUCGAUUGAUCAGCGUGAGUAUCUAUGGACAAUGCUUGGCAACCGGUGUAUACAUACAACAAAUGCUGCAUCCAGAUAAUCAAAGCAAGCAUUCAUGGGCAUUGCGUCUGUCUAUUGCAUCCGGAUUACUAGGCAUGUCAAUAUCUAUGCCAUUCCUCUAUUCAUAUGUUCUCAAGCGCAC